UACGGGGGGGGCUAGCGUUGUUCGGAAUUACUGGGCGUAAAGGGCGCGUAGGCGGUCUGCUAAGUUGGAUGUGAAAACUCUGGGCUUAACCCAGAGCCUGCAUUCAAUACUGACAGGCUAGAGUUCUGGAGGGGAUAGCGGAAUUCCUGGUGUAGCGGUGAAAUGCGUAGAUAUCAGGAGGAACACCGGUGGCGAAGGCGGCUAUCUGGACAGAAACUGACGUUGAGGCGCGAAAGCUAGGGGAGCAAACAGG
rnacentral:rRNA from 1 species